rnacentral:rRNA from 1 species
AUUGAACGCUGGCGGCACGCCUUACACAUGCAAGUCGAACGGUAACGCGGGGCAACCUGGCGACGAGCGGCGAACGGGUGAGUAACGCAUCGGAACGUGCCCAAUAGUGGGGGAUAGCCCGGCGAAAGCCGGAUUAAUACCGCAUACGACCUACGGGUGAAAGCAGGGGAUCGCAAGACCUUGCGCUAAUGGAGCGGCCGAUGUCAGAUUAGGUUGUUGGUGGGGUAAAAGCCUACCAAGCCGACGAUCUGUAGCUGGUCUGAGAGGACGACCAGCCACACUGGGACUGAGACACGGCCCAGACUCCUACGGGAGGCAGCAGUGGGGAAUUUUGGACAAUGGGCGAAAGCCUGAUCCAGCCAUGCCGCGUGCGGGAUGAAGGCCUUCGGGUUGUAAACCGCUUUUGUUAGGGAAGAAAUCUUUUGGGCUAAUACCUCGGAAGGAUGACGGUACCUAAAGAAUAAGCACCGGCUAACUACGUGCCAGCAGCCGCCGUAACAC